UACGAGGGGGGCGAGCGUUGUUCGGAUUCACUGGGCGUAAAGGGUGCGUAGGCGGUUGGGUAAGUCUGAUGUGAAAUCUCACAGCUUAACUGUGAAACUGCAUUGGAUACUAUCCGGCUAGAGGAAUGGAGGGGAGACUGGAAUACUUGGUGUAGCAGUGAAAUGCGUAGAUAUCAGGAGGAACACCCGUGGCGAAGGCGGCCUUCUGGGUCGACCCUGACGCUGAGGCGCGAAAGCGUGGGGAGCAAACAGG
rnacentral:rRNA from 1 species